rnacentral:rRNA from 1 species
GACGAACGCUGGCGGCGUGCCUAAUACAUGCAAGUCGAGCGAGACUCUUCGGAGUCUAGCGGCGGACGGGUGAGUAACACGUGGGCAACCUGCCUGUAAGACUGGGAUAACACCGGGAAACCGGUGCUAAUACCGGAUAAUCCUUUUCCUCUCAUGAGGAACAGCUGAAAGUCGGUUUCGGCUGACACUUACAGAUGGGCCCGCGGCGAAUUAGCUAGUUGGUGUGGUAACGGCUCACCAAGGCGACGAUGCGUAGCCGACCUGCGAGGGUGAUCGGCAACACUGGGACUGAGACACGGCCCAGACUCCUACGGGGGGCAGCAGUAGGGAAGCUUCCACAAUGGACGAAAGUCUGAUGGAGCAACGCCGCGUGAGCGAUGAAGGCCUUCGGGUCGUAAAGCUCUGUUGUUAGGGAAGAACAAGUAUCGGAGUAACUGCCGGUACCUUGACGGUACCUAACCAGAAAGCCACGGCUAACUACGUGCCAGCCGCCGCCGUAAUAC